rnacentral:miRNA from 1 species
UAGUUAAAGAUGAGGGAAAAA